rnacentral:rRNA from 1 species
CCUACGGGGGACUGCAGUGAGGAAUAUUGGUCAAUGGCCGUAAGGCUGAACCAGCCAAGUCGCGUGAAGGAAGGAGGAUCUCUGGUUUGUAAACUUCUUUUAUAGGGGAAUAAAGGUAUCCACGUGUGGAUGUUUGCAUGUACCCUAUGAAUAAGCAUCGGCUAACUCCGUGCCAGCAGCCGCGGUAAUACGGAGGAUGCGAGCGUUAUCCGGAUUUAUUGGGUUUAAAGGGUGCGUAGGUUGUUUUUUAAGUCAGCGGUGAAAGUUUGGGGCUCAACCAUGAAAUUGCCGUUGAAACCGGAGGGCUAGAGUGCGGUUGAGGUAGGCGGAAUGUGUGGUGUAGCGGUGAAAUGCAUAGAUAUCACGCAGAACACCGAUUGCGAAGGCAGCUGACUAAUC